rnacentral:lncRNA from 1 species
UGGCUGAGGACGAUGACUUGAGUCAGUGACUGCUGAAUGCCCUGUGUUUGGUGUUCUACUUUUCAUGUAAAUAGUAGGGGGAACAGAGGUGGCUUCCAAGCCUGUACCUUGACUGACUCAGGGAUUCUGAACUCUGUGGACUCCAGGAAGAAAGAUUUCAAACUGUUUUUCCUAUUUGGAUACUGACUCCAAGGCCAUAGACCACCACUGUGGCAAAAGUAUAUUCAGCAUUGGUCAGUAAAAGUCAGAGAAAUUGCAAAAAGAUUAUCAAAGAGUUCUAGUGUA